rnacentral:rRNA from 1 species
GAGAGAGUUCAAGAGUACGUGAAACUGCUCGGAGGGAAACGGGUGGGCCCUCGAAGUCCGGCGGCGGGAGGAUUCAGUCGGGCGACUCGGACGACAGCCGGGCGCGCUGCGCCACCCCCCACGGGUGGAGGCCGCGCCGAUCGGAGACGUCGCUUUCGGGUGGUCCGGCGCAUUUCUUUCCCGUCCGGAGGACGCCGCAACCGGUCGGGUGCCCCAGCGGCCGUGAGGACGGGAGCCGGCAGGGGGCCGGAGGCCAGCCUCUGCGCUGGCCGCCGGUCUUUGGCCUUUCCGUCUGGGCACGCCACCCGACCGAAUCGAUGCACGAGGUCCGCAUGGGCCUCGCCGCCUCCUCAUCCGCCUGCGGGAGCGGACGCCGCGGCAGGAGUGCCCCGCACCUCGGUCGCACGGGAAGAACCCGGGGAUCCGAGGGAGCGAGUGAGGACUUUGCUGGCCGCGGACUUUUCCGCGGGAGGAGCGACGGCGGUUGGCGGCGAGUAGGUCGGUCACCCACCCGACCCGUCUUGAAACACGGACCAAGGAGUCUAACAUGCGUGCGAGUCAAUGGGUCUCGUACAAGCCCAAAGGCGGAGCGAAAGCAAAGGGAGGGAUGCCUCCCUCCCGAGUCGGGAUCCCUCUCCUUUAAUAAGAGGGGGCGCACCGACGGCCCGCCCAGACCGCCUCUGCGCGGUCGGGCGGCGUCCGAGCACGCACGUUGGGACCCGAAAGAUGGUGAACUAUGCCUGGGCAGGACGAGGCCAGAGGAAACUCUGGUGGAGGUCCGCAGCGGUCUGACGUGCAAAUCGAUCGUCAGACCCUGGUAUAGGGGCGAAA